rnacentral:rRNA from 1 species
UACGUAUGGUGCAAGCGUUAUCCGGAUUUACUGGGUGUAAAGGGAGCGCAGGCGGCACGGCAAGCCUGAUGUGAAAGCCCGCGGCCCAACCGCGGGACUGCAUUGGGAACUACCGGGCUGGAGUGCCGGAGAGGUAGGCGGAAUUCCUAGUGUAGCGGUGAAAUGCGUAGAUAUUAGGAGGAACACCGGUGGCGAAAGCGGCUCUCUAGCCUGUAACUGACACUGAGGCUCGAAAGCGUGGGGAGCAAACAGG